rnacentral:rRNA from 1 species
CAGUCGCCGCGGGAAUACAGAGGGUGCAAGCGUUAAUCGGAAUUACUGGGCGUAAAGCGCGCGUAGGUGGUUUGUUAAGUUGGAUGUGAAACCCCCGGGCUCAACCUGGGAACUGCAUUCAAAACUGACUGACUAGAGUAUGGUAGAGGGUGGUGGAAUUUCCUGUGUAGCGGUGAAAUGCGUAGAUAUAGGAAGGAACACCAGUGGCGAAGGCGACCACCUGGACUAAUACUGACACUGAGGUGCGAAAGCGUGGGGAGCAAACAGGAUUAGAUACCCGAGUAGUCCCUGUCUCUUAUAC